AGGACGAACGCUGGCGGCGUGCUUAACACAUGCAAGUCGAGCGGAAAGGCCCUUCGGGGUACUCGAGCGGCGAACGGGUGAGUAACACGUGAGCAACCUGCCCUUAGCUCCGGGAUAGCUCCGGGAAACCGGAAUUAAUACCGGAUAUGACCUAGGCCGACAUCGGCUGUGGUGGAAAGUUUUUCGGCUGGGGAUGGACUCGCGGCCUAUCAGCUUGUUGGUGGGGUAAUGGCCUACCAAGGCGACGACGGGUAGCCGGCCUGAGAGGGCGACCGGCCACACUGGGACUGAGACACGGCCCAGACUCCUACGGGAGGCAGCAGUGGGGAAUCUUGCGCAAUGGGCGAAAGCCUGACGCAGCGACGCCGCGUGGGGGAUGAAGGCCUUCGGGUUGUAAACCCUUUCAGCAGGGACGAAGCGAAGUGACGGUACCUGCAGAAGAAGCGCCGGCUAACUACGUGCCAGCAGCCGC
rnacentral:rRNA from 1 species